rnacentral:tmRNA from 1 species
UAACUUUAUAAAUACUUACUAUUAAUUAUAAUAAAAAUGCUGGUUUAUUCCAGCUAUGGCAAUAAACGGAAUACUAUAUAAAUGUUAUGGACCCGGGGGCGGUACCCGGCACCUCCACCAAAAACUACAUGAGGGGGUGAAAUAGGAUCGACAUGCAUCGAAGGGUAUUUACUUUUGCUCGGAAUGGUUCCUACGUAAUGGGCCAAUUUUAUAACUGCAAACGACAACAGUCGUGAGGUUGCUCUUGCUGCGUAAGCAGUAAGAAAAGCCGUGGUUCAAGUCCCAGCGCGUCACACCGUUUGGGCGGGGUAUAAUGAAGCACCUGGCAACAGAAAGCUCUUGGA